GAUGAACGCUGGCGGCGUGCCUAACACAUGCAAGUCGAACGGAAUUUACAUGAAGCCUAGCGAUUGUUAAUUUAGUGGCGGACGGGUGAGUAACGCGUGGGUAACCUGCCUUGUACUGGGGGACAACAGUUGGAAACGACUGCUAAUACCGCAUAAGCGCACAGCUUCGCAUGAAGCAGUGUGAAAAACUCCGGUGGUACAAGAUGGACCCGCGUCUGAUUAGCUGGUUGGUGAGGUAACGGCCCACCAAGGCGACGAUCAGUAGCCGGCCUGAGAGGGUGAACGGCCACAUUGGGACUGAGACACGGCCCAAACUCCUACGGGAGGCAGCAGUGGGGAAUAUUGCACAAUGGGGGAAACCCUGAUGCAGCAACGCCGCGUGAGUGAAGAAGUAUUUCGGUAUGUAAAGCUCUAUCAGCAGGAAAGAAAAUGACGGUACCUGACUAAGAAGCCCCGGCUAACUACGUG
rnacentral:rRNA from 1 species